GUCUCCGCCGUGAGACAUGACAGGCCCAAAUGGACUAAUACUAAGUUUCCAUCUCCUUAGCAGACUGAUAUUGAUAAAGACCUUACAAAAAGAGCAAAAAAACAAAGCAACCCCGGCUGCAAGAGGGGAGAGGGAAAUGGAUGCAUACUGGAUGCCCCUCUAGCCUAUUAAAAUGGAUAGCACUACAGGGCCUUACUCAACUGAAUUUCUGCAAAUUGUAAAUAUCA